UCCAGCUUCGAUCAGAUCCACUAGGUGAAGUUUCUAGAUACACUCUUCUGAUCUUCUAUUCAUCGCGUUCAGCUCGGAAUAUUCUGUUUUUGUUUCUCUGAUUGGAUUCGAUUGCGACCAUCGUCAUCUGAGAUUCAAACGAGAUUUCAAUCGAACCGAUUGAAAUUGGAAUCUAGAAACCACGAUCUGCUCAUUGCUUAGGCUUCAAUCAAAUUAUCGUCGUCAUUAUUCGUAGCUUGAUUUUCUGCUCAGGAUUUCAAAAGCGGGAUGAGCGAGAUGAACGUGUUCAGAUCGAGGAGCAAUGUGGAAACCAGCUGAAGAGAGGCGCUUGAGAUUAGCCAUAAGACUCUUAAAGAAGAGAACGAAAGGCUGAAGAAGCUGUAUACCGAAUCGUUAAACAACUUCGUCGAUCAGCUUGAGCAUCGAACUAAGGUGCCACAGCUUGAAAGAAGAGCUGAAAAGAAUGAAUGAUGAAAAUAGAAGCAAAGAGCAUGUGAGACUCCAAACAAAAGCUUUUUCAGCAAGUUAAGCUUUUUCAGAAAGACAAAACACACAAAAUCUCUGAACCAGUUCCGAGCUCAACAUUUGUCAUCUUCACUGUAUCUAUCAGUCACGUUGUUUCUCAACAAGCCAAGCUUCUUCUCUGUUUCUCUCACGUAAAGUCUCACCUCCACUGAUGAAUCCAAACUUGACUUAAAUGCUCUGUCUUUGAGCGUUUCCUUCCAUGGGUGGAGAGAGGCGAACUCAGCUUUCAAGUCUUGGGCUAUAAAAAUGUCAUCUUUACACAGACCCACAUAGAGAAAAGCUGGGAUCUUCGAAGCAGUCAUGGCAUCUACCAAAGGACUCAACAAAGACACAAAGAAACCAAGAGCUACUGGUUAGUUCAAUAUUAUUGAUCAAUUUGAAGUUUUUUGAUUGUGCAUUGUGGUAAAGUUUGUUGUACUGAAAGUGUUUUAUAAAUUUCUUUUAAGAAUCCAUAAUUAAGAGACUUGCAAUAAAGUACUUAAAUGUUCAAAUCUCUUUCUAAGUCUCUUAACUCACUUUUACACUUUAAAAACUAUUAAAAAUUAAUUAAGACAUCCUUUAAAGGGUUUUGGGAUAAUGGUGCUCUAAAAGACGUCUCUUAGCUUUUUUACGCUAAGAACCUCAACCUAAAAGACCUGCAAUAAAUAUGCUCUAAGAUCUAUGUAUAAAAGGAAUCGAAACCUACACUAGUUUGGAUUGGUUUCGUCUUUAAUAGGUCACAUUCUCAAUAUAUUUUUAUUAUAUGGUUUGUCUGGUUCAGGUUAUAGUUUGACAAAUAUAGAAAAAUACAACGAACCAGACAAAUUGAAAGAUUCAGAUGCGCUUUCAGAUUGGCUUUUCAAUUGAUCUGGAUUGCGUAGAUACGGGAUUGUGUAGUGAAGAAACCCUAGUAUAGAUAAUAGACUUCAAGUGGCAGUUUAUAGACUUCAAGGGGCUAUAUUCAAAAGUAAACGGGUGUGAAUAGAUUGGAGUCAAAACUUGUGGGUUAAAAAUAGAUUUACUUUUCUGCGUGAAUAAAUUGGGCUCCCUUUUCUAACAUGUACUUCCCACAAAUAUUUAAUUCAGAAAAUAGCCGCUCGAAUGACGGCAAUUUCACCUAACAAUGAACGCGGAGCUUGUUCACCAGAAAAGUGGUUGAUGCUUAACGUGCUCAUAUUUGUUUUCUGCUAGAUCACAACAUUGGGU